rnacentral:rRNA from 1 species
GAGGAUGGUCAGCCACACUGGGACUGAGACACUGCCCAGACUCCUACGGGAGGCUGCAGUCGAGGAUCAUUCGCAAUGCGCGAAAGCGUGACGAUGCGACGCUGCGUGGAGGAUGAAGGCCUUAGGGUCGUAAACUCCUGUCAUGAGGGAAAAGUAACCCGCCGGUUAAUAUCCGGUGGGAUCGAUGGUACCUCAAGAGGAAGCCACGGCUAACUCUGUGCCAGCAGCCGCGGUAAUACAGAGGUGGCUAGCGUUGUUCGGAUUUACUGGGCGUAAAGGGUGCGUAGGUGGUCUCGUAUGUCGGAUGUGAAAGCCCAUGGCUCAACUGUGGAAUUGCAUUCGAAACUGCGGAACUAGAGUGCAGGAGGGGAGAGCGGAAUUCUUGGUGUAGCGGUGAAAUGCGUUGAUAUCAAGAAGAACACCGGCGGCGAAGGCGGCUCUCUGGAAUGUUACUGACACUGAGGCACGAAAGCUGGGGGAGCAAACAGGAUUAGAUACCCUGGUAGUCCCAGCCGUAAACGGUGUACACUUGGUGUGGGAGGAAUCAACCCCUUCCGUGCCGGAGCUAACGCGUUAAGUGUACCGCCUGGGGAGUACGGCCGCAAGGCUAAAACUCAAAGAAAUUGACGGGGGCCCGCACAAGCGGAGGAGCAUGUGGCUUAAUUCGAUGCAACGCGAAGAACCUUACCAGGGCUUGACAUAUACCUGCACGCCCCCUGAAAAAGGGGAAGCCUUCGAGGGUGGUAUACAGGUGCUGCAUGGCUGUCGUCAGUUCGUGCCGUGAGGUGUUUGGUUAAGUCCAGCAACGAACGCAACCCUUGUGUUUAGUUGCCACCGCAGGUGAUGAGCCUGCGAGCACUCUAAACAGACUGCCCGUGCAAGCGGGAGGAAGGUGGGGAUGACGUCAAGUCAGUAUGGCCCUUACGCCCUGGGCUGCACACGUGCUACAAUGGCCGGUACAGAAGGAGGCAAUACCGCGAGGUGGAGCAAAUCCUCAAAGCCGGCCCCAGUUCGGAUUGGAGUCUGCAACUCGACUCCAUGAAGUUGGAUUCGCUAGUAACGGCGUAUCAGCUACGACGCCGUGAAUACGUUCCCGGGCCUUGUACACACCGCCCGUCACAUCAUGAAAGCUGUCUGCACCCGAAGUCGUUGAUCCAACCCGCAAGGGAGGAAGGCGCCGAAGGUGUGGGUGGUGAUUGGGAUGAAGUCGGAACAAGGUA